CUUUUUAUACUUUAUUGAAAAAUAGUCAAACUCUAACUCCUCCUCUAGUUUAUCAUUAAUAGUGUGGAGAUGUCCAACGCUAGAAAGUCUCAGCUCUAGUGAGGGACAUUGGCCGAUCAAACGCGCACUUUACUGCCAGAAACUUUCCAAGGCAGGCUCAUCAGGGGCGGAGUUCCUUAGUGGCAGUGGCUUGGCCGGAAACAAUAUUAGUCAGUCAGAAUAAGGGAGGCAAUGGUGCGACGCGAUUCUCAGAGAACUCGAUUUUUCGGCGAGCUAGAGGUAAGACGCUGAGAGUCACUUCGUCUGCAGCGUCGGGGAUGACGAGAGCUCCAAGAUUUGAUGCAAAACGACGGCAGAUGGGUGGAGAUCGGUGGUGGACAGCAGUGAGAGAGAGAAGAGAGUGAAAUGGAGAGAGAUAGAGGUGAGGGGUCAAAAUGAUUAAGGUAAACUGUUGUUUGGUCCCUCUAGACAUAUUCUUCAUUUAUAAAAAAAAUCUUAUUUGAUCAAUAAUUGACAGUUUUGACUCAUUUUGUAGCAUUUAAAAGCAUAUAGUGCGUGCAUGCAUCAACGAGACUAAUUAUGAAAUUAAGAGAAAUUUUAAUUAAUAUAAAAUAAAAUAAUAAUAGUGUUACAAAGUGAUUAUAAUAUAUUAAAUUUAUAAAAAUAAAA
rnacentral:lncRNA from 1 species